rnacentral:rRNA from 1 species
GGGUUGUGAGGUUAAGCGACUAAGCGUACACGGUGGAUGCCCUGGCAGUCAGAGGCGAUGAAGGACGUGCUAAUCUGCGAUAAGCGUCGGUAAGGUGAUAUGAACCGUUAUAACCGGCGAUUUCCGAAUGGGGAAACCCAGUGUGAUUCGUCACACUAUCAUUAACUGAAUCCAUAGGUUAAUGAGGCGAACCGGGGGAACUGAAACAUCUAAGUACCCCGAGGAAAAGAAAUCAACCGAGAUUCCCCCAGUAGCGGCGAGCGAACGGGGAGCAGCCCAGAGCCUGAAUCAGUGUGUGUGUUAGUGGAAGCGUCUGGAAAGGCGCGCGAUACAGGGUGACAGCCCCGUACACAAAAAUGCACAUGCUGUGAGCUCGAUGAGUAGGGCGGGACACGUGGUAUCCUGUCUGAAUAUGGGGGGACCAUCCUCCAAGGCUAAAUACUCCUGACUGACCGAUAGUGAACCAGUACCGUGAGGGAAAGGCGAAAAGAACCCCGGCGAGGGGAGUGAAAAAGAACCUGAAACCGUGUACGUACAAGCAGUGGGAGCACGCUUAGGCGUGUGACUGCGUACCUUUUGUAUAAUGGGUCAGCGACUUAUAUUCUGUAGCAAGGUUAACCGAAUAGGGGAGCCGAAGGGAAACCGAGUCUUAACUGGGCGUUAAGUUGCAGGGUAUAGACCCGAAACCCGGUGAUCUAGCCAUGGGCAGGUUGAAGGUUGGGUAACACUAACUGGAGGACCGAACCGACUAAUGUUGAAAAAUUAGCGGAUGACUUGUGGCUGGGGGUGAAAGGCCAAUCAAACCGGGAGAUAGCUGGUUCUCCCCGAAAGCUAUUUAGGUAGCGCCUCGUGAAUUCAUCUCCGGGGGUAGAGCACUGUUUCGGCAAGGGGGUCAUCCCGACUUACCAACCCGAUGCAAACUGCGAAUACCGGAGAAUGUUAUCACGGGAGACACACGGCGGGUGCUAACGUCCGUCGUGAAGAGGGAAACAACCCAGACCGCCAGCUAAGGUCCCAAAGUCAUGGUUAAGUGGGAAACGAUGUGGGAAGGCCCAGACAGCCAGGAUGUUGGCUUAGAAGCAGCCAUCAUUUAAAGAAAGCGUAAUAGCUCACUGGUCGAGUCGGCCUGCGCGGAAGAUGUAACGGGGCUAAACCAUGCACCGAAGCUGCGGCAGCGACGCUUAUGCGUUGUUGGGUAGGGGAGCGUUCUGUAAGCCUGUGAAGGUGUGCUGUGAGGCAUGCUGGAGGUAUCAGAAGUGCGAAUGCUGACAUAAGUAACGAUAAAGCGGGUGAAAAGCCCGCUCGCCGGAAGACCAAGGGUUCCUGUCCAACGUUAAUCGGGGCAGGGUGAGUCGACCCCUAAGGCGAGGCCGAAAGGCGUAGUCGAUGGGAAACAGGUUAAUAUUCCUGUACUUGGUGUUACUGCGAAGGGGGGACGGAGAAGGCUAUGUUGGCCGGGCGACGGUUGUCCCGGUUUAAGCGUGUAGGCUGGUUUUCCAGGCAAAUCCGGAAAAUCAAGGCUGAGGCGUGAUGACGAGGCACUACGGUGCUGAAGCAACAAAUGCCCUGCUUCCAGGAAAAGCCUCUAAGCAUCAGGUAACAUCAAAUCGUACCCCAAACCGACACAGGUGGUCAGGUAGAGAAUACCAAGGCGCUUGAGAGAACUCGGGUGAAGGAACUAGGCAAAAUGGUGCCGUAACUUCGGGAGAAGGCACGCUGAUAUGUAGGUGAAGUCCCUCGCGGAUGGAGCUGAAAUCAGUCGAAGAUACCAGCUGGCUGCAACUGUUUAUUAAAAACACAGCACUGUGCAAACACGAAAGUGGACGUAUACGGUGUGACGCCUGCCCGGUGCCGGAAGGUUAAUUGAUGGGGUCAGCGCAAGCGAAGCUCUUGAUCGAAGCCCCGGUAAACGGCGGCCGUAACUAUAACGGUCCUAAGGUAGCGAAAUUCCUUGUCGGGUAAGUUCCGACCUGCACGAAUGGCGUAAUGAUGGCCAGGCUGUCUCCACCCGAGACUCAGUGAAAUUGAACUCGCUGUGAAGAUGCAGUGUACCCGCGGCAAGACGGAAAGACCCCGUGAACCUUUACUAUAGCUUGACACUGAACAUUGAGCCUUGAUGUGUAGGAUAGGUGGGAGGCUUAGAAGUGUGGACGCCAGUCUGCAUGGAGCCGACCUUGAAAUACCACCCUUUAAUGUUUGAUGUUCUAACG